rnacentral:misc_RNA from 1 species
GUGAAUCAUCGAAUCUUUGAACGCACAUUGCGCCCCUUGGCAUUCCGAGGGGCAUGCCUGUCCGAACGUCGUCUAGUCCACUCAAGCCUGGCUUGGUGUUGGGCGUCGGGGCUCGCCCCCCGCGCCCGCAAACCCCCGGCCGGACCUCCAGUCCCUCAGCGUUGUGGCGACAUCCCGCUGUCGAGAGAGGAGGCGUCGCGCCGUCAGAACCGCCCUCGGGCACUCAUGGGUUGACUUCGGAUUAGGUAGGGAUACCCGCUGAACUUAAGCAUAUCAAUAAGCGGAGGA